AAGAUUUUAAGUUAAAUAAACUAAUAGCCUUCAAAGCUUUAAAUAAAGAAAAUCUCUUUAAAUCUUA
rnacentral:tRNA from 1 species